rnacentral:rRNA from 1 species
AUGAUGUGCACUAGUCUAGGAACCAAACUAGACAUUUUUCAUUUCAAGUUCCAUGACAAAUCACGUAAUCACUCGGGUAAAUCAUGCAUGCAAUCCUGUCUUGGCUUGCUCGGACUGCAGCAUCACCCCAGGUGCCUCCUAUGUGACCAGACUACAGAAACAAUCCAACACCUGCCCCUGACCUGCCCCUUCGCUUGCCAAACAUGGCAUGCCAUCCUGUCUUGGCUGCGUUUGCUGAUCCAGGCGCCAGACCAGGAGCCCACUGUCAUGGCAUGGUGGCUGCGAGUGAACGAGCAUAUGCCGAUGAUGCAUCGCAAGGCCCUCAGGUCCAUCACCUUGCUUGUUCCAUGA